rnacentral:rRNA from 1 species
GACGAACGCUGGCGGCGUGCUUAACACAUGCAAGUCGAACGGUAAGGCCCUUCGGGGUACACGAGUGGCGAACGGGUGAGUAACACGUGGGUGAUCUGCCCUGCACUUCGGGAUAAGCCUGGGAAACUGGGUCUAAUACCGGAUAGGACCACUGCCUGCAUGGGUGGUGGUGGAAAGCUUUUGCGAUGUGGGAUGGGCCCGCGGCCUAUCAGCUUGUUGGUGGGGUGAUGGCCUACCAAGGCGACGACGGGUAGCCGGCCUGAGAGGGUGACCGGCCACACUAGGACUGAGAUACGGCCCAGACUCCUACGGGAGGCAGCAGUGGGGAAUAUUGCACAAUGGGCGCAAGCCUGAUGCAGCGACGCCGCGUGAGGGAUGACGGCCUUCGGGUUGUAAACCUCUUUCAGCACCGACGAAGCGCAAGUGACGGUAGGUGCAGAAGAAGGACCGGCCAACUACGUGCCAGCAGCCGCGGUAA